ACACAAUCUCACUUUGUCCUCGGAUGUUCAUCAUGUGAUCUUUUAUCAACGCAACCGUGGCGGGGGCCCUUGCUAACUUGAACCUGUGCUUGCCUACGUGUGGUAAAGCGGAAACACUGUGAACGCUUCUGACCUUGUCUUUUCAAUUUUAGGCAGGUGACAACGCUGAAUUGGUCCUCAGGAGCGGAUGUUCAAGGAACCCUGCCUAUGCUCCAUGCCAGCUGCCAGUCCUAGGUUGGGACAUUCCACUGGGGACAUCCAUGGGAGAGCUAUGGCCAUUAACAAGUCCUGAGCCCUGACCUGAAGCCAUCAGUGGCCUAGCUGCUCUACCUGACUUUGUGGCCUCUCUUCCUGGAUCUCUCGCUUACGACAACCGACAACAAAGAUGUUUGACUCCAGAAGAUGCUCCCCGCGGCCCACCUGAGAGGACUGUCCACACCCCACCCCACUGCGCCCUGUGCCAUCUACCUCUGAGUCCCCAACUCGGUAGCCCCUGCUUCUCACCCAUGUUUCAACUCCCACCCCAGAGCCUUGUAUUCCAGAUCUGAGCAGCCCUUGCUUAGGAACCUGAGGUGGGGGUGGGUAGGCAGACCCAGGGGACUGAGCAGGGAGGGGAAGGAGGGGUUUCUGCUCUUGGCUUUCAAAGUUCUCAGUGUGUGUAGCCCUUUGAAUAAUAAACAUAUGUCAUAUAAUGUAAA
ensembl:lincRNA Mirg miRNA containing gene